rnacentral:rRNA from 1 species
CCUACGGGUGGCUGCAGUGGGGAAUAUUGGACAAUGGGGGCAACCCUGAUCCAGCCAUGCCGCGUGUGUGAAGAAGGCCCUCGGGUUGUAAAGCACUUUCAGUGAGGAAGAACGCCUGGUGGUUAAUACCCAUCAGGAAAGACAUCACUCACAGAAGAAGCACCGGCUAACUCCGUGCCAGCAGCCGCGGUAAUACGGAGGGUGCGAGCGUUAAUCGGAAUUACUGGGCGUAAAGCGCGCGUAGGUGGCUUGAUAAGCCGGUUGUGAAAGCCCCGGGCUCAACCUGGGAACGGCAUCCGGAACUGUCAAGCUAGAGUGCAGGAGAGGAAGGUAGAAUUCCCGGUGGAGCGGUGAAAUGCGUAGAGAUCGGGAGGAAUACCAGUGGCGAAGGCGGCCUUCUGGACUGACACUGACACUGAGGUGCGAAAGCGUGGGUAGCAAACAGGAUUAGAUACCCUGGUAGUC